AAAAACGCUUAUGCAAAUAAGCUACGAAAACAACUCAAGGUGAGAAGCGCUUAUGCAAAUAAGCUACGAAAACAAAUCAUGGGUUCGCGUUCACAAUAACAACAAUCACGCUUCAUAUCAGAGCAUCGCGCUCAUCACUAUAGCUCAUGGAUUCGUGUUCUUGGAUUUAUUUCGAAAUCAAUCAUGGAAGUUCGUAAAACCGAGGCGAGACUCAGAUCGAAACGAGAAAUGACUCACCGAAUUUCCAAGAACAGGGUUUGAAUAGGUAUCUUUGGUGUUACAAGAAGUUACUCUGCGAAGUUCCUUUUGUGCUCAGAAAUUGGAGUGGCCUUUUUGAUGCUAGAAUUUGUUAACAGUGCAGUGAAGAUUGAAGCAUUGGUUUCGGUUUUCUCACAGCCUUGUUGGUGUACUCGGUUUUGGGUGGCUCGUGAUUUCAGUUUGGAUGUGUGAGGAUGGUGUAACAUUGAUUAGAAGACGUGUUGCCGUAACUUCCGAAUUGAAAAGUGUAUGGUCUGGGUCCAAUACAAGGCACAACUUCCUAGCAGCAAACAUUCCGUUCUAUUCUUCAAGCCUCUUAGUUCUCUCUUUGAAUAACAACUUUCUACUUCUUAUCAUAACCUUCAAAACUAGCUCAACAUCAGCCCAUGUAUCCUGGGGUCGAGAAAAACCUUAUGCGCAUACUUCAGGAGCUGAUUCUACGCCAUCUUUCAUAUUCUGAGGGAGAGGUACAACAAAUUUCUGCUCAGUUCUAUCUGCAGAAUAAACAUUCUGAGUAACAGGGAGUGAAUUGAUGGUUCAUGGGGAACAGACAAAACAUCUGCAGUGUUGUGAUUUAGCACCAAACGGAGAAGCCCAUUUAAUGUUGUUAAAUCAAUCUUCUCGACAAUUCAGACUUGGUCUGUAGCAUACUUCACAAAUUGUUUAUAUCACUUAUAAACCAAAACGGUGAUGGCUCCGAAUCUGCGGGCUCUAUCCAGUUGGGAAAGAGAUAACUAUUGUUGCCACAGACAUUGAUCAAGAUGGGCAUCAGUAAACUUCUCAAGAGGCUCAAUUUCGUACACCAGAGUCAAGUGGCUAUAAAUCCAUAAACUCUAAUACAACCUUUGGAAGCAUGUUGGGUGAUGAAAUUUGUUUAGAUGCACGACGCCAAGGAUCUUGUGAACCAUUUGUGAAUACUAUUUUGGAACCAGCAACUUUUGUGCCUCCAUAGUAUAAAUUAGUUGCAUCAACAUCAGGAUAUAUGCCCUUUCCAAAGACAUUUUUGCAAAGGUCCAAAUGGUAUCUCGUGUCAACUUUGUGGGAGCGUAUA